AGAGGAAGUAAAAGUCGUAACAAGGUUUCCGUAGGUGAACCUGCGGAAGGAUCAUUAUCGAGUUUGAAAAGGGUUGUAGCUGGUCUUUCACGAGGCAUGUGCACACCCUACUCAUCCACUCAACACCUGUGCACACUAUGUAGGUUUAGACGAGCAUCGGGGCCCUCGUGCCUCGGUAGGAGUCUGCCUAUGUCUUUAUAAACUCUGUUUAGUAUACGAAUGUACUUGCGAUAAAACGCAUCUUAUACAACUUUCAGCAACGGAUCUCUUGGCUCUCGCAUCGAUGAAGAACGCAGCGAAAUGCGAUAAGUAAUGUGAAUUGCAGAAUUCAGUGAAUCAUCGAAUCUUUGAACGCACCUUGCGCCCCUUGGUAUUCCGAGGGGCACACCCGUUUGAGUGUCGUGAAAUUCUCAACUCAACCACCUUUGCUGGUGUUUGGGCUUGGACUUGGGGGUUUGCUGGCUUCGGUCGGCUCCCCUUGAAUGCAUUAGCUCGAACCCUUGCGGAUCAGCUAUCGGUGUGAUAAUUGUCUACGCCGUGGUUGUGAUGCCACCUUCGGGUGUUGGAUCGGCUUCUAACUGUCCCCUAGGGACAAUUUCUUUGAAAUCUGACCUCAAAUCGGGUGGGACUACCCGCUGAACUUAAGCAUAUCAA
rnacentral:rRNA from 1 species